AUGUCCAAUGAGGAGGAGCUCCUGGUCCAGGAAUCCACUGCCACGGACAUCUCCGGCGCGGACCGCUCCCAUCCAACCGCCCGAUCGGCCUACUUCCUCCUACCCCGCGCGGACGCCACUCGUCCCCCCGUGCUGCCAUCCCCGCGACGCAGUGGAGGCCCCUUUCUUCAUGGCGAGAUCCGGGUGGAAUGGAGGGGCUGGCUCUCCUCCUCGAAGCUGUGGAGGUGCUGGGUGACCAAGCUUCGGCCACUGCACGAGGGCCUGUGGAAGAGAGUUGGUAUAUUUGACGCCAUCCUCUCAACCACAUGGCGGGUUCGGCGUGACGAAGAUCUGCUGCUCCAGCUCGCGGCGUUCUGGUCCAGAGAGACCGGCACGUUCGUCUUCCCGUGGGGCGAGGCCACGGUGACGCUGGAGGACGUGGCCGUGCUCGGGGGGCUACCUCUAUUGGGCAUGCCCGUGUGCGCGGCGUUGCCGGACGCGCUGCGCGGGGACGUGCACGCCCUUGAGGGCGUUCGGAGCGCUCUGAACCGGAGCAAGAGCAAGAAGCCAAACUAUUCCUCGUGGGUAAAGUACUUCCUCGAGCGGCCACCGGAAACUGAUGCAGGAGGCGACCGUGGAGACAAGGCCGCUGGAUUGCUCGAGCACGGGGCAUUCUUGGCCAUGUGGCUGUCUGAGUACGUGCUCCCGUCGCCGCCGUGUGACGUGGUUCUGGCGCGGGUGCUCCCCAUCGCCGCCCAACUGGCACGCGGCCAGCCCGUGGCUCUCGCACCUGCGGCGCUUGCUAGCAUCUACAAGUGCUUGUCCACGCUCGCCGGGUGUGCCCCGCUCCAGAUCCUCCAGCUUUGGGUCUGGGAGCGGUUCCCGGAGCUUCGCCCAGAGAAGAAGGUAUCCGCCCACAACAAUGACAACGGCGUGCCGGCCAGGGCUGCAAAGUGGCACAACGUCAGAGAGCUGCUUGACCCGAGGUACAUCCAUGCUGUGUUCAUGUCACCAGGGAGAUUUGAGUGGAUGCCUUAUGGCAGCAGCAGCUUUGGCGUGCCACCCGGCAAUGGCGGCCGUCGGGUCCAUGGCCAGGACAUAGCAAGAAGCGAGGAGCUGCUAGCCAUGGCGCUAUGCCUUCACCCUUGCGAGCUGGUGGGCAUCGAUUGCAUCGAGCAGUACUGUCCGCACCGUGUCGCGCGGCAGCUGGGCUUCGAUCAGGACGUGCCCGGGGAUGUCUGUCGUGUCAACUCGGAUCCAGUGGCCGCGUGGUCAACCUAUAAGAUAGAGGCUAGAUCCUUUGCAUUCAUCUUUCCAAAUCGCGACGCCGGCGUGACCGUUGAGUAUGCGCGGUGGUGGGAGCCAUACUCGUCCGCAUGCGCAGCUCAUGUUGCUAAUGCUGCAAGGACAAAGAAGCUGGUUCAUCCGAGUAAAAGAAUGAUGGAAGAAGCUACUGUGGUUGAUCUGCAGUCAACAUCUGAAGACAUCGUGGCCAUCAACGAUAAUGAAUCCCUCAAAGAAUCUGAAAAGGAUGUUGAGGUGGCCGCGAUGCUUACGAAAUCAUCCGAACCGGUGAACGAAAAUGUUGAGGUAGCCGAGAGAGUGGUUUGUGCUAGAACACCGUACUAUCUUAGGCCAUUUGGGCAGGCCAAAUAUGGCCAGGCGGGCCCAAGCAGGAGAAAUUCGGAUCAAGAAUUUUUUUCAGCCAAAACGGGAAGUGGGGACGAUGGAAAUGAUUAA
rnacentral:rRNA from 1 species